GAUGACCGCUGGCGGCGUGCCUAACACAUGCAUGUCGAGCGAUCUUCUUUGGAAGAGAGCGGCGGACGGGUGAGUAACGCGUGGGUAACAUGCCCUGUACACACGGAUAACAUACCGAAAGGUAUGCUAAUACGGGAUAAUAUGCUUUUAUCGCAUGGUAGAAGUAUAAAAGCCCCGGCGGUACAGGAGGGACCCGCGUCUGAUUAGCUAGUUGGUAAGGUAACGGCUUACCAAAGCGACGAUCAGUAGCCGACCUGAGAGUGUGAUCGGCCACAUUGGAACUGAGACACGGUCCAAACUCCUACGGGAGGCAGCAGUGAGGAAUAUUGCACAAUGGGCGAAAGCCUGAUGCAGCAACGCCGCGUGAGCGAUGAAGGCCUUCGGGUCGUAGAGCUCUGUCCUCAAGGAAGAUAAUGACGGUACUUGAGGAGGAAGCCCCGGCUAACUACGUGCCAGCCGCCGCGGUAA
rnacentral:rRNA from 1 species